CAUCCAAGGGAAAGACUGAACAUGGCCUUAAUAGACAAGUGGUCUUUAUUUGGAGGUUAUUCUGUUCUGUUUCAUUGAAGGGUUGGUCAAGAGUGGCCCAUUUACAGGGUGAUCUUUAUUCAGAGCAUGGUUUAAACGACUGUGCAGCUAGAAAUGCAGCUAGAAAUGCGUUAUUGACUCAAACUCGUACCAUGUCAGGCGAUGUCCAGUUGACCAGAGAAAUAUGGAGUGGGCACUUCAUAUGAAGGUAAUGGCACAAAAAUCAUCAUACUCUUUACCCGUUUAAAUCUGCUGCCAGUAAAGGACAAAGCACUUAUAUAAUUUAUAUUCUAUUAAAAUUGAUGUGACAUUUUAUUUAUUUUAUUUUUUUAAUAAUGAGGACCAAAUUUGAUAGUGUAAAAGGCGCGCUGUAUCUUUAUGGAUUUAAAAGCAAUUACAUCAAGUUUAAUACAAACUUUGUUCUGGUUUCGCUAAAGGAAAUGAAAUGGAAUAUUUCAUAGUAGUUUUCUUUUAUAAUUAAUAAAAAUAUGAACUAUAGAUGAGCUAAAAGAAUCUAAGUUGUUAAGUUUCCUUUUUACGAAAAUGAAAAGGACAGCAGGAAAUAGCUUAUUUCCCCACAGGUCGCCAAUGGUGUGUUUCCCUUGAGGAGACAGAAAAGAAAUGAGCCGCGUCAUGACAAAACCAACGUAAUGCGUUUGCGACCAGCUUUCAUGCAGUCUGAUCAGGAUCCAUGUUGUUCGCUUACAAACCCAAUUACAUAUAGAAACUGAUAGCGAACAGCAUGGAUCCUGAUCAGACUGCGCGGAGGGGCAGGCUGGUUUGGAUCCAUGCUGGUCGCAAAUCCACAUUGUUGGUUUUGUCAUGGCGCGGCUCAAGUAAUAUUUCUGCUAGGACAUUUGCACAGAUUACCUCCCCUGAAAAUCACUAGUAACUACUUGUUCACCGCGAAAUGGAAAUAUGAAUUAGAUCAGAUCAAAUUAAGGUAGUAGGUGGCCAGUGGUGUGGUUUGAUUGCGGAAGAAAUGGAAAAGAAACUAAUUUCCGUUGUGGUUACUGCUGGAGUGUGGCCCAAGAAAUCUUCCUCUGACGUUCCAUUCUGGAAAGUGAAUUAGAGCAGAGCCAUUUCACAUUUAAAGUGUGGUUCUUUAGCAGAGAAGAGGAGACUAAAUGUGUGAUCUUCUCUGGUUGCCUCCCCUGAAGUUCUUUACAACUCUGUGUUAUUGUGGAAAGAAGACUGGUGCAGAUUUUUUGUCAUUCAAGGAAUGUUCCAGAAUAUGGAAACAUUUAUAUAGAACAACUGCGAUUAAAGAAGAGUAACACUGGUACAGAAUGCGGACAAUGUGAAAACAUCAUCUAAAGAUGUCAACAUCCUAUUAAAAUCAUUCGCAAUUCUUCUGACAAUUUCAUAAUUUAAUCUUUACUGUCUUCAGUACAUGAUGUUUUUAAGACUUUUAGUUAUAUAAUUGCGUGUAAUAACCAUUUUCAUAGUUCCAUGGCAACCAGUGCCUACCAUUGCAUUGUUUUGCUCCCAGAAAUACCAGUUUAUCAAAAGUUUUGGCAAUUUUAUCCUGCUCUGUUUAAAUUGUUGUGACACAUUAUUUUAGUUUAUAUAUACAUGUUAUAAUUCACAAUAUACAGAGAGCAAUUCAAAUAUUCUUAAAAAACAGGUUUAGAAUGAAAGACAUGUCUUAUGAAAUUCUUCUCCUAACACAUUAUUUUGUAAACAUUGAUCAUAUAUAUUAGUCGCAGGAUUUUCACAUACUGUGCAAUACAAAAAAAGCCAUAUAUGCAUUCUUCAAUUGGAUCAUGUGACUAAAUUAUAAGUUGCGCUGAAAGAAUUUCCACAUUUUUCUUAUCAACCGAGAAAUGCUUUCCAGUUUUAUUUCACCUUUUUUUUUAAUCCAGAAAUUUCAUGAAAUAAGUAUCUAUCUGAAAUAAUCAUUUGUGAAAUAUGGGUGAAAUUUUGCAAAGUUUAUAUUUUUUCAAAAUUAACAACAACCUUGUGUGAAGCUUUGAAGAUAAAAGUUUGGCUAACUUUGGGUCUUUAAUAAAUCUCUGUAUAUAAAGAUAAAAAUAUAACAAAACUAUAUUUUCAAUUUAUUUUUUACAUUUUAUAUAAAAUUUAUUUAUUAGAAAGAUUUUUGAAAACAUGUACUUUUAAUCUUUUCAUUUUUGCUGUUUGUUCUUUUAGAGAAAUUUCAAUUUAAGAGUCAUUUCUAAUAUUUAAGUUCUAGCCUAUAUAAAAGUCAUUUUACCUACUGUUCUCACUGCAUUUUCAACUGUUUUAUAACCUAUAAUAUAUUUGCAGCACUAACAUUUACUGUUGGGUAAAAUGAACUUUUAUAUAAGGGAAUUGAAAUUGAAAAAACAAAUAUAAACAAAUAAAGCUAAUUAAAACAGACAAGUUUUUAAACUUUGGCUGAAAAAAAAAUAUUUAGAAGCAGAAAAUGAAACAAAACAAACAAAAAAUUUAAUGAAAAAAAGUUAAAAAAAUGAAAGUGAGAAAUUCAGAAAAUAAGUAGAAAUGAAAGAUAAGUUUAAAGUUUGCUUUUACUAUGAAUUAUAUCAAUCCAAAAAUCAUGUGAAAAUGAGUAAUAUAAAAAUAUAAUCUUAAAGCUACAGACACACACAAGGUAGUUAUGUCAAAAAUUAAAAAACUUUUUAAAUAUUCCCCAGUAUUUCAAAAAUUAUUAUUAUGGGUAAUUACAUUUUAAAGGCAAAUAAUGAUGCCUCAGAAAUACAUAUUUUUUAAUUGUUUAGAAAUGUGGUUUGUAAUGUUUUAAUAAUGGAUUUAGAGCAUGUUAGAUAUUUUACAACUGAAGAAAGUAAACAUGAAGUAAUGCGACAUUAUUUUUAUAUAGUAAACAAAAUAUUUAUUUACUACAAUUAUACCAAUUGCCAACACAAGGUAAUUCAUAUACAUGUAUGUGGCAAAUAAAUAUUUCUUUUGAAACUGUAACAAAAUGCAAAAAUUAAUGCAAGUUGUUGAGAAAUAAAUGAUGGGAUUUCUGAGGCAUAAUGGGCAAUUAAAACAUGAUUUUUCAAUAAAAUGAUAGUAUAUAUUAGGUAUAAUGGGCCUUUAAUAACAUUUUAAAAAAGGACCCCAAAAACAUUGUUUUUUUGUUAUGAAAGUGAAAUAAACUUGCCCAUUACUAUUAGGGUGUCUGAUCUUUUUCAAGAAAUGAAAUCCUUCCAGUUCAUAAUUUAAGGUCAAUGCUCCAAAUAAAAAUACAUUACUUGUACUAGAAAGAGCAUCAAAACACAAGGUUAUCUGAUUUGUACAAGGGGGCAUUUAUAAUAAGUGUUAGUUAUUCCAAGUUAUAAUGGUCUUUUAGUAUAAAUACUGCAGCUUAAUAUUGAAAAUAUAAACUGAAACAUUUUAAUAGUAUUUAAAUAAUGGUAGGAUGAAAAUGCCAAAACUUUUAUAAGCGAGUAUUUCUGAGAUAAAACAGAUAACCAAGAUGAAAUGAAAAAAAAUCAAUGUUGGCUAAUUUUGAUUUAUUUUUCUUUAUAAACAUUUAACUGAUUUUUUAUCUUAAUUAUUAUGAACAUUUCUCUGAAAACAAUUCUCAUUACUUUUUGGAGUUCUCAAACUGAUUAAUAUCAAUGUAAGUACAAACAUAUAAAGUUUACAUUUUUGUUGAAAUUUAGUAUUUGAUUAAUACAAAGACCAGUAUUUGUGUCAUAUGGUAGACUUAAAUAUUUUGUUAUUUUAAAUAAAAGUUACUUAACUUG